rnacentral:rRNA from 1 species
AAUAGAUACCCCGGUAGUCCACGCCGUAAACGGUGGGCACUAGGUGUGGGCGACAUUCCACGUCGUCCGUGCCGCAGCUAACGCAUUAAGUGCCCCGCCUGGGGAGUACGGCCGCAAGGCUAAAACUCAAAGGAAUUGACGGGGGCCCGCACAAGCGGCGGAGCAUGUGGCUUAAUUCGACGCAACGCGAAGAACCUUACCAAGGCUUGACAUAACACCGGAAACGUCCAGAGAUGGGCGCCCCCUUGUGGUCGGUGUACAGGUGGUGCAUGGCUGUCGUCAACUCGUGUCGUGAGAUGUUGGGUUAAGUCCCGCAACGAGCGCAACCCUUGUCCCGUGUUGCCAGCAGGCCCUUGUGGUGCUGGGGACUCACGGGAGACCGCCGGGGUCAACUCGGAGGAAGGUGGGGACGACGUCAAGUCAUCAUGCCCCUUAUGUCUUGGGCUGCACACGUGCUACAAUGGCCGGUACAAUGAGCUGCGAUACCGCGAGGUGGAGCGAAUCUCAAAAACGCCGGUUCUCGAGUUCGGAUUGGGGUCUGCAACGUCCG